UACGUAGGGGGCGAGCGUUGUCCGGAUUUAUUGGGCGUAAAAGGCUUGUAGGUGGCCACGCGAAGUCGGAUGUGAAAUCUCCCGGCUCAACCUGGGAGGGUGCGCUAGAAACUGGAAUGCUAGAGGAUGGGAGAGGUAAGCGGAAGUUCCUGGUGUGCGGUGAAAUGCGUAGAUAUCAGGAGGAACACCUGUGGUGUAGACAGCUUACUGGACCAUUCUGACGCUGAGACACGAAAGCGUGGGUAGCAAACAGG
rnacentral:rRNA from 1 species